UACGGGGGGGGCAAGCGUUGUUCGGAAUUACUGGGCGUAAAGGGCGCGUAGGCGGCCUGCUAAGUCGGACGUGAAAUCCCCCGGCUCAACCGGGGAACUGCGUCCGAUACUGGUGGGCUCGAAUCCGGGAGAGGGAUGUGGAAUUCCAGGUGUAGCGGUGAAAUGCGUAGAUAUCUGGAGGAACACCGGUGGCGAAGGCGGCAUCCUGGACCGGUAUUGACGCUGAGGCGCGAAAGCUAGGGGAGCAAACAGG
rnacentral:rRNA from 1 species